rnacentral:rRNA from 1 species
UGAGGAAUAUUGGUCAAUGGGCGAGAGCCUGAACCAGACCAAGCAUAGCGUGCAGGAAGAGCAGGCCCGCUAUGGGUUGUAAACUGCUUUUAUACGGGGAUAAAGUUAGGGACGUGUCCCUUUUUGCAGGUACCGUAUGAAUAAGGACCGGCUAAUUCCGUGCCAGCAGCCGCGGUAAUACGGAAGGUCCUGGCGUUAUCCGGAUUUAUUGGGUUUAAAGGGAGCGUAGGCCGGAGAUUAAGCGUGUUGUGAAAUGUAGGAGCUCAACUUCUGCACUGCAGCGCGAACUGGUUUCCUUGAGUACGUAGGAAGUUGGCGGAAUUCGUGGUGUAGCGGUGAAAUGCUUAGAUAUCACGAAGAACUCCGAUUGCGAAGGCAGCUGACUGUAUCGUAACUGACGCUGAAGCUCGAAAGUGUGGUAUCGAACAGGAUUAGAUACC